rnacentral:rRNA from 1 species
UGGGGAAUAUUGGGCAAUGGAGGAAACUCUGACCCAGCAACGCCGCGUGCGGGAUGAAGGCCUUCGGGUUGUAAACCGCUUUCAGCAAGGAAGAAGCGAAAGUGACGGUACUUGCAGAAGAAGCACCGGCUAACUAUGUGCCAGCAGCCGCGGUAAUACAUAGGGUGCAAGCGUUGUCCGGAAUUAUUGGGCGUAAAGAGCUCGUAGGUGGUUCGUCACGUCGGAUGUGAAAAUCUGGGGCUUAACCCCAGACCUGCAUUCGAUACGGGCGAGCUAGAGUGUGGUAGGGGAGACUGGAAUUCCUGGUGUAGCGGUGGAAUGCGCAGAUAUCAGGAGGAACACCAAUGGCGAAGGCAGGUCUCUGGGCCAUUACUGACACUGAGGAGCGAAAGCGUGGGGAGCGAACAGGAUUAGAUACCCUGGUAGUCCACGCCGUAAACGGUGGGCGCUAGUUGUGGGAACCUUCCACGGUUUCUGCGACGCAGCUAACGCAUUAAGCGCCCCGCCUGGGGAGUACGAUCGCAAGAUUA